rnacentral:rRNA from 1 species
UAACACAUGCAAGUCGAGCGAGAAAAGGGGAGCAAUCCUCUGAGUACAGCGGCGCACGGGUGAGUAACACGUGGGUAAUCUGCCCUGGAGUGGGGAAUAACACCGGGAAACCGGUGCUAAUACCGCAUACGAUAACGAGGUCUGUGGAUUUUGUUAUGAAAGGAGCAAUUCGCUCUAGGAGGAGCCCGCGGCUGAUUAGCUAGUUGGUGAGGUAAUGGCUCACCAAGGCUUCGAUCAGUAUCCGGUCUGAGAGGACGGUCGGACACACUGGAACUGUGACACGGUCCAGACUCCUACGGGAGGCAGCAGUGGGGAAUUUUUGGCAAUGGGGGAAACCCUGACCAAGCAACGCCGCGUGGGUGAUGAAGUCUCUUGGGACGUAAACCCUUUCGACGGGGAAGAAAACCGCAAGGUUUGACGGUACCCGUAGAAGAAGCCCCGGCUAACUCCGUGCCAGCAGCCGCGGUAAUACGGGGGGGGCAAGCGUUGUUCGGAAUUACUGGGCGUAAAGGGCGCGUAGGCGGGUCUGCAAGUCCGGGGUGAAAGCCCCCAGCUCAACUGGGGAGGAGCCUUGGAAACUGCAGGUCUCGAGGGAGGUAGGGGCAUGUGGAACUUCGGGUGGAGCGGUGAAAUGCGUUGAUAUCCGAAGGAACGCCGGUGGCGAAAGCGACGUGCUGGACCUCUUCUGACGCUGA